rnacentral:rRNA from 1 species
CCUACGGGAGGCAGCAGUGGGGGAUAUUGCACAAUGGGGGAAACCCUGAUGCAGCGACGCCGCGUGGGUGAAGAAGCGCCUCGGCGCGUAAAGCCCUGUCAGCAGGGAAGAAAAUGACGGUACCUGAAGAAGCAGCCCCGGCUAACUACGUGCCAGCAGCCGCGGUACUACGUAGGGGGCGAGCGUUAUCCGGAUUUACUGGGUGUAAGGGGGGCGCAGACGGCGAUGCAAGCCAGGAGUGAAAGCCCGGGGCUCAACCCCGGGACUGCGCUUGGAACUGGGUGGCGAGAGUGCAGGAGGGGCAGGCGGAAUUCCUGGGGUAGCGGUGAAAUGCGUAGAUAUCAGGAAGAACACCGGUGGCGAAGGCGGCCUGCUGGACUGCAACUGACGUUGAGGCCCGAAAGCGUGGGGAGCAAACAGGAUUAGAUACCCCAGUAGUC